rnacentral:rRNA from 1 species
CCUACGGGAGGCAGCAGUAGGGAAUCUUCCACAAUGGACGCAAGUCUGAUGGAGCAACGCCGCGUGAGUGAAGAAGGCUUUCGGGUCGUAAAACUCUGUUGUUGAGAAGAAUGGUCGGCAGAGUAACUGUUGCCGGCGUGACGGUAUACAACCAGAAAGCCACGGCUGCUACGGCCAGCAGCCGCGGUAAU